UUCAGCCAAUCAGCAUUCAGGGCUCAAACCACCCAGUUUAUAAUCUAGUGUAAACUAUGGUUAAACAUUCCAUUAAGUAUUUAUUACCUGUUGACGUUGCAUGAAACUGAAUCACUGUUCGGAUAACGGCCCAGAGGCUCAAUGUGUUUGUGUGGUUGUGGAUGAUAUAUAUCCUCGGUCUUAUCUAGAGUACAGUACUGGAACGCCCUGUGUCUGAUAUAGCCUCUCCUCGGUCUGAUCUAGAGUACAGUACAGGAACUCCCUGUAUCUGGUAUAGCCUCUCCUCGGUCUGAUCUGGAGUACAGUACCGGAACGCCCACCACUACACUGAACAUGCUCGUCCGGAGUGCGUGAGAGCACACUGCGAAGAGGAUAGAAUAGAGAAACCAAAACUCUUCAACUCAGAAAAUGUACUCUAUGGAAGAUAGCAAAUGUUUUUUUUUAUGAACCCCAUCGAAUGUUGGAGCAAAGUAAUUAUAUGGCAGUUUUGUAAAAACAAAAUCUAUUUUUUCCCCGGGCGUGGUUUGCACUCAGCAUUCCUUGAUACAUGUCAUGUGACCGAGGAUUAAUUUAAACAGUACAUUAAAAGGGGCUGGAAUAGGGUCAGGUUUAGAGAAAGUCCGUCGUGCUUCUUAUGCAGUAUAGCCUGCCUAAGUGUGUUUAGAUAGUUUGAAAUAAACAAACCAGGGUAUGGACGAGAAGGAUGACGAACAGCUUGGGGCGUUUGAUCCCAACAUUCCAGAGGAGGGUCCAUCGGCGCCCCCUCCUGGCUGGCUGGACUGUGUGACAGGGUACGACGAGCCCAAAGGGGGAGACACAGGAGACCAGCUGUACCCUCCUCCUCCUGCCUACAACCCUCAACCUGAGAAUGACAAGAAUGCAUCCGUCCCUAACGUCAGGGUACCUCAAGUGUCAGAGAGUGUGGCUAGGGAAGCUCUCCUGAAGUUUGUGGGCUCCAAGUGGUCCAAAAGCAGCAAGCCUGCCAGAAACCUGACCUUCAAGGAGUUACAACCUAUCACAAUGUAUCGGUAUCGUUUGGAGACAUAUACUGAGUCCAGAUCCAGUGCCUGGGAGAUGGAGCCAUUUACUGAUGUGCAACUAGGCGAGGUAUCCCAGGUAUCUUCCUCCGAUCUCUCAGGCCAGGUGGUAGACGGACCUCAGUACGGGAUGAGCCCACCUCCGUGGGACGUCCCGGUGCAACAGCCACAGAGAUACAUCGAUGUGAUCCUGAAAGUGCGUGUCCCUCACUCCUCCUUUGUAAAGACGUGUCACCGGUGCCACGGCUGUGGUAGGACGCGCUGCACACACUGUGCAGGGAGGGGAAAUAGGCGGUGUCCGUUCUGCCACGGACAUGGUCGCAGGACAACAGGACAUGGACGUAACAACAGGACCGGAAACAACAGAUGUUCCAGCUGCCAAGGGAGGGGGAGGAAGAGAUGCACGUUCUGCCAUGGACACGGACACAAGACCUGCCCCACCUGUCAGGGCAACAGAAACCUGAUGCACUUCAUUCAGCUCACCAUCACAUGGAAGAACCACGUGUUUGAGUUCGUACCGGACCGGCUGCCUGAGUUCCCUCUCAAGAAGUUUGAGAAGGUGUCUGGGGACGCCUUCUUCGUUGAUGAAAGUAUUCUGGUGUACCCCAUCGUGGGUUUCCCUGACCAGGAGAUCUGUGACGCCUCCAGGAAGGCGUCUCAGGAACACCACAGCAAGUUCUCACCACAGCAAGUUCCCUGUCGCAUCCUACAACAGCGUCAAACCAUCGAGUUGGUUCCCAUCACUCACGCCUUCUAUUCCUACAGUGGAAAAGACUACGACUACUUUGUUUACGGUCUCGAGAAUAAGGUUUUCACUCCUAAAUAUCCUUCCGCCUGUGUUAUAUUAUAAAAGGAAACAUCUCAUGAUAAUGUUAAUGUUAGUCCUGUCCUUUUGUUUUUAUUUUAUUAAUAUUUUACAGUCAUAGUCAAUACAAUAUACUUUACUUAUUGUUGUCGUAUAAUCAAGGAGAUAAGGAAUGUCUACAGUGUUCUGGAAAAGUGUAACUACAGUCUUGUUGAUUGUGUAUAGACAAAAGUCUAUCCUGACAUUUUUACAUUUGUAAUUAUUAUCUUUUUUUUUUUACUCAAAAGGGUGCUAGCCGUGUUGAAACUCAUUGUAAAACCAGUGCCUGUUCAUUCCAGCCAUUCCAACCACUGAUUUUUCCAUCACACCAUUGAAUUGAAAGUAUAUGCUAUACUAUAACAAUAAUAUCCAGAGUUUGUGAAGUUGGAUAAUGGAAUAUUUUAUUCUGAAUUCUGUUAUGUUUGUCUGUACCUCCGUGGACUCUCCAGUUUUGAUCAUAGAGAUGGAACUGUAGAACAUAGAAUGAGAAGCGGAAUCAUUUUAAUUCUAUGGAGAAUCUAGUCAAUCUGUUUCUAUGGUUCUGGAUCAUCCACUGAGGUCUAAGCUCAGAGUAAGAGAGGUGUGUUGCCUGAGCUCAGAGUAAGAGAGGGGUGUUGCCUGAGCUCAGAGUAAGAGAGGGGUGUUGCCUGAGCUCAGAGUAAGAGAGGUGUGUUGCCUGAGCUCAGAGUAAGAGAGGGGUGUUGCCUGAGCUCAGAGUAAGAGAGGGGUGUUGCCUGAGCUCAGAGUAAGAGAGGUGUGUUCCCUGUGUGUUUCUAAUUGUAAUCAUCUAAAUGUUUUUUUUAUAUAUAUAAAUCUGAAUUUUAAUACAUGCACCUUACAGCCUAUAUGCAAAAUAAAACAACUUUUCUAUACCCUGUAUUUUUAUAAUUAAAAAAAAUAUGAUUGUGAAUAUUGGUAUUUUUCAUCAUUUGGAACUGGAAGGG